rnacentral:rRNA from 1 species
CGUGGGCUUUUCUUUUUACUUUGAGAAAAUUAGAGUGUUUCAAGCAGACUUUUGUCUUGAAUACUUCAGCAUGGAAUAAUAGAGUAGGACCUUGGUUCUAUUUUGUUGGUUGUGAGCCUGGGUAAUGGUUAAUAGGAACGGUUGGGGGCAUUCGUAUUUAACUGUCAGAGGUGAAAUUCUUAGAUUUGUUAAAGACGAACUACUGCGAAAGCAUUUGCCAAGGACGUUUCCAUUAAUCAAGAACGAAAGUUAGGGGAUCGAAGACGAUCAGAUACCGUCGUAGUCCUAACCAUAAACUAUGCCGACUAGAGAUUGGAGGUCGUCAG